rnacentral:rRNA from 1 species
GGUGAACCUGCGGAAGGAUCAUUAUCGAAAUAAAUCUGAACAUGCUGUUGCUGGUCGGAAGACAUGUGCACGCUUGUCCUCUUUAUUUUUCCAACUGUGCACAUAUUGUAGACCUUUUUGAGGGAAUGAUGGCCAAGGUCUAUGUUACAUUUAACAACUUGUUGUAGAAUGGGGGAUAUGAAACAAAUAUACAACUUUCAGCAACGGAUCUCUUGGCUCUCGCAUCGAUGAAGAACGCAGCGAAAUGCGAUAAGUAAUGUGAAUUGCAGAAUUCAGUGAAUCAUCGAAUCUUUGAACGCAUCUUGCGCUCCUUGGUAUUCCGAGGAGCAUGCCUGUUUAAGUGUCAUCAAGUUCUCAACCAUACCUCGGUGUGGCUUGGAUCUGGGGGUUUUUGCAGGCUUCAAAGAAAGUCGACUCCCCUGAAAAGCAUUAGCAGUGUCAGAGUACCUUUGGUGUGAUAACUAUCUAUGCCUUGGUGUAUACGAUGCAUGCUGCUUCUGAACUUCAUUUUUAUUGACAAAUUUGACCUCAAAUCAGGUAGGAU